GACGAACGCUGGCGGCGUGCUUAACACAUGCAAGUCGAACGAUGAAACCUAGCUUGCUAGGUCGAUUAGUGGCAAACGGGUGAGUAACACGUGACUAACCUGCCCCUUUCUCUGGGAUAACGCUCCGAAAGGAGUGCUAAUACCGGAUACUCACACCGAGGCACAUGCCUUGGUGUGGAAAGUUUUUCGGAAAGGGAUGGAGUCGCGGCCUAUCAGCUUGUUGGUGAGGUAACGGCUCACCAAGGCGACGACGGGUAGCCGGCCUGAGAGGGCAACCGGCCACACUGGGACUGAGACACGGCCCAGACUCCUACGGGAGGCAGCAGUGGGGAAUAUUGCACAAUGGGCGCAAGCCUGAUGCAGCGACGCCGCGUGAGGGAUGAAGGUCUUCGGAUUGUAAACCUCUUUCAGUAGGGACGAAGCGAAAGUGACGGUACCUAAAGAAGAAGCACCGGCUAACUACGUGCCAGCCGCCGCUGUAA
rnacentral:rRNA from 1 species